rnacentral:rRNA from 1 species
AGCGAACGCUGGCGGCAGGCUUAACACAUGCAAGUCGAGCGGGCACUUCGGUGUCAGCGGCAGACGGGUGAGUAACACGUGGGAACGUACCCUUUGGUUCGGAAUAACGCUGGGAAACUAGCGCUAAUACCGGAUACGCCCUUUUGGGGAAAGGCUUGCUGCCGAAGGAUCGGCCCGCGUCUGAUUAGCUAGUUGGUGGGGUAAUGGCCUACCAAGGCGACGAUCAGUAGCUGGUCUGAGAGGAUGAUCAGCCACACUGGGACUGAGACACGGCCCAGACUCCUACAGGAGGCAGCAGUGGGGAAUAUUGGACAAUGGGCGCAAGCCUGAUCCAGCCACGCCGCGUGAGUGAUGAAGGCCUUAGGGUUGUAAAGCUCUUUUGUCCGGGACGAUAAUGACGGUACCGGAAGAAUAAGCCCCGGCUAACUUCGUG